rnacentral:tRNA from 1 species
UCCCAGGUGGCUCAGAGGUUAAAGCGUCUGCCUGCAAUGCGGGAGACCCGGGUUUGAUCCCUGGGUUGGGAA